rnacentral:rRNA from 1 species
CCUACGGGUGGCAGCAGUAGGGAAUCUUCCACAAUGGGCGAAAGCCUGAUGCAGCAACGCCGCGUGGGUGAAGAAGGUCUUCGGAUCGUAAAACCCUGUUGUUAGAGAAGAAAGUGCGUGAGAGUAACUGUUCACGUUUCGACGGUAUCUAACCAGAAAGCCACGGCUAACUACGUGCCAGCAGCCGAGGUAAUACGUAGGUGGCAAGCGUUAUCCGGAUGUAUUGGGCGUAAAGGGAACGAAGGCGGUGUUUUAAGUCUGAUGUGAAAGCCUUCGGCUUAACCGGAGUAGUGCAUUGGAAACUGGGGGACUUGAGUGCAGAAGAGGAAAGUGGAACUCCAGGUGUAGCGGUGAAAUGCGUAGAUAUAUGGAAGAACACCAGUGGCGAAGGCGGCUCUCUGGUCUGUAACUGACGCUGAGGUUCGAAAGCGUGGGUAGCAAACAGGAUUAGAUACCCUUGUAGUC